rnacentral:rRNA from 1 species
AACGAACGCUGGCGGCAGGCCUAACACAUGCAAGUCGAGCGCGCCUUCGGGUGAGCGGCGGACGGGUGAGUAACGCGUGGGAAUAUGCCCUUCUCUACGGAAUAGUCCUGGGAAACUGGGGGUAAUACCGUAUACGCCCUUUGGGGGAAAGAUUUAUCGGGGAAGGAUUAGCCCGCGUUGGAUUAGGUAGUUGGUGGGGUAAUGGCCUACCAAGCCGACGAUCCAUAGCUGGUUUGAGAGGAUGAUCAGCCACACUGGGACUGAGACACGGCCCAGACUCCUACGGGAGGCAGCAGUGGGGAAUCUUAGACAAUGGGGGCAACCCUGAUCUAGCCAUGCCGCGUGAGUGAUGAAGGCCUUAGGGUUGUAAAGCUCUUUCAGCUGGGAAGAUAAUGACGGUACCAGCAGAAGAAGCCCCGGCUAACUCCGU